rfam:Ailuropoda melanoleuca scaffold2934_4, whole genome shotgun sequence.
GCCUGGGUGGCACAGCGGUUGAGCGUCUGCCUUUGGCUCAGGGCGUGAUCCUGGCGUUGUGGGAUCGAGCCCCACAUCAGGCU